UUCCGGUUGAUCCUGCCGGACCCGACUGCUAUCAGAGUGGGACUAAGCCAUGCGAGUCAACAUAGCAAUAUGUGGCAUACGGCUCAGUAACACGUAGUCAACAUGCCCAGGGGACGUGGAUAACCUCGGGAAACUGAGGAUAAACCGCGAUAGGUCAUCACUUCUGGAAUGGGUAAUGACUUAAAUCUAUAUGGCCCCUGGAUUGGACUGCGGCCGAUCAGGCUGUUGGUGAGGUAAUGGCCCACCAAACCUGUUACCGGUACGGGCUCUGAGAGGAGGAGCCCGGAGAUGGGCACUGAGACAAGGGCCCAGGCCCUAUGGGGCGCAGCAGGCGCGAAACCUCUGCAAUAGGCGAAAGCUUGACAGGGUUACUCUGAGUGAUUUCCGUUAAGGAGACCUUUUGGCACCUCUACAAAUGGUGCAGAAUAAGGGGUGGGCAAGUCUGGUGUCAGCCGCCGCGGUAAUACCAGCACCCCGAGUGGUCGGGACGAUUAUUGGGCCUAAAGCAUCCGUAGCCGGUCCUGCAAGUCUUCCGUUAAAUCCAGCUGCUUAACAGAUGGGCUGCGGAGGAUACUAUAGAGCUAGGAGGCGGGAGAGGCAAGCGGUACUUAGUGGGUAGGGGUAAAAUCCG
rnacentral:rRNA from 1 species